ACGAACGCUGGCGGCGUGCUUAACACAUGCAAGUCGAGCGAGGUCCAACUGGUCUUCGGACCGGUGAAGACCUAGCGGCGAACGGGUGAGUAACACGUGAGAAACCUGCCCCGAACUCUGGGAUAACCCAAGGAAACUCGGGCUAAUACCGGAUAUCCUCUGCGGAUCGCAUGUUCUGCAAAGGAAAGAAUUUCGGUUCGGGAGGGUCUCGCGGCCUAUCAGCUUGUUGGUGAGGUAACGGCUCACCAAGGCAACGACGGGUAGCUGGUCUGAGAGGACGAUCAGCCACACUGGGACUGAGACACGGCCCAGACUCCUACGGGAGGCAGCAGUGGGGAAUCUUGCGCAAUGGGCGAAAGCCUGACGCAGCAACGCCGCGUGCGGGAUGACGGCCUUCGGGUUGUAAACCGCUUUCGGCAGGGACGAAAAUGACGGUACCUGCAGAAGAAGCCCCGGCCAACUACGU
rnacentral:rRNA from 1 species